AUACGUAGGUGGGCAAGCGCUAUCCGGAUUUACUGGGUGUAAAGGGCGCGUAGGCGGGAAUGCAAGUCAGAUGUGAAAUCUCCGGGCUUAACCCGGAAACUGCAUUUGAAACUGCAUUUCUUGAGUGUCGGAGAGGUAGAUGGAAUUCCUAGUGUAGCGGUGAAAUGCGUAGAUAUUAGGAGGAACACCAGUGGCGAAGGCGAUCUACUGGACGAUAACUGACGCUGAGGCGCGAAAGCGUGGGGAGC
rnacentral:rRNA from 1 species